UACGUAGGAGGCGAGCGUUAUCCGGAUUUACUGGGCGUAAAGCGGGCGCAGGCGGCUUUUCAAGUUGGAUGUGAAAUCUCCCGGCUUAACUGGGAGGGGCCAUUCAAUACUGUUGGGCUAGAGUGCAGCAGAGGGAGGUGGAAUUCCCGGUGUAGUGGUGACAUGCGUAGAUAUCGGGAAGAACACCAGUGGCGAAGGCGGCCUUCUGGGCUGUUACUGACGCUGAGGUCCGAAAGCGUGGGGAGCGAACAGGAUUAGAUACCCCCGUA
rnacentral:rRNA from 1 species